GACGUAGGAUGCGAGCGUUGUCCGGAUUUAUUGGGCGUAAAGAGUUCGUAGGUGGUUCGUUAAGUCUGGUGUAAAAGACUGGGGCUCAACCCUGGGAUCGCACUGGAUACUGGCGGACUGGAGUGUGGUAGAGGCAAGCGGAAUUCCCAGUGUAGCGGUGAAAUGCGCAGAUAUCAGGAGGAACACCAAUGGCGAAGGCAGCACUCUGGGACGUGACUGACGCUGAGACGCGAAAGCGUGGGGAGCAAACAGG
rnacentral:rRNA from 1 species